rnacentral:tRNA from 1 species
GUUGUCUUACCUCAGUGGUUAGAGCUGAGGCCUUGUGACCAGGAGGUCCCGGGUUCGAAUCUCGCCUGAGGCAGAA